rnacentral:rRNA from 1 species
CCUACGGGGGGCAGCAGUGGGGAAUAUUGGACAAUGGGGGCAACCCUGAUCCAGCCAUGCCGCGUGUGUGAAGAAGGCCCUCGGGUUGUAAAGCACUUUCAGUGAGGAAGAACGCCUGGUGGUUAAUACCCAUCAGGAAAGACAUCACUCACAGAAGAAGCACCGGCUAACUCCGUGCCAGCAGCCGCGGUAAUGCGGAGGGUGCGAGCGUUAAUCGGAAUUACUGGGCGUAAAGCGCGCGUAGGUGGCUUGAUAAGCCGGUUGUGAAAGCCCCGGGCUCAACCUGGGAACGGCAUCCGGAACUGUCAAGCUAGAGUGCAGGAGAGGAAGGUAGAAUUCCCGGUGUAGCGGUGAAAUGCGUAGAGAUCGGGAGGAAUACCAGUGGCGAAGGCGGCCUUCUGGACUGACACUGACACUGAGGUGCGAAAGCGUGGGUAGCAAACAGGAUUAGAUACCCUGGUAGUC